rnacentral:misc_RNA from 1 species
GGAAAUUAGGUGCGCUUGGCGUUUUAGAGCUAGAAAUAGCAAGUUAAAAUAAGGCUAGUCCGUUAUCAACUUGAAAAAGUG